UAUGUCUCAACUAAGCGGUGAUUUUCA
rnacentral:piRNA from 1 species